AUCUGGAACAACAGGGUCACAGCACAAUCAAACUGUCAAAAAUCAGAGCAAACACAGCUUGAGCCCAACACUUAAGGCCUGAGCUCCUUGCAAGAGCCAGUAUAAAUUAUCACAAAAGCUGCUGAAGUGGGAUGAGACAUUACCAAGUCAGGACUCAUUUCUCAGCCACUCACAGAGCCAUAAACAACAAGAGUUACUAAUAACCCAGACCCUCUAGAAAAGCAAUGGAGAACUAAACCAAUGUCAGAGCAGGCUGGGAAUUUCUGCUGGAACUGUUUUCAGACUGCUGGUUUUGAUGUGGAACUUAAGGAGGCACCAAAAUCAUCAUCAGUGAGCAACGGGCGGGCUCAGGAACGCUUCCUUUCUCACCUCCCUUCUUCCUUUACACUAAAUCAUAGUGCAAAUAUAAAUACAUAAAUUCCUCCUUCAAACUCCAUUGUUCUUCAAAACCUGCAGUAAUUUAACCUGAAUUCACUGCUCUGGUUCCAUUUCCUUUAUGAACCAUUUGCUGCUGUUGGUGAUGUUUCCAAUUGCCCUUGUCCUGCCCUGGAAGCCAGACACCAGUCUUAGUGAUCUUCCUGUUCCUGUGUCAGUCUGUCCACCCAUGGGUGCCCUGUGGUUGUCUGUCCAUGCUGUGACAGUGAGCAUCUCCCUGGCUUGCAUGAAGUACCACACAAGCACCACACCUCUCAUCUAGCCCUCAUUAUUAUACCCAAGAUCAUCUUAAGGUUGCCACUUCUCAGUCCUCUCUCCUCCCGGGUUUUUUUGCCCCUGUAUAGUUGGAAAUCCAAUUACAAAGAAGAACAUAAAGUCAAGCUUUGGUCUUGUCAAUACUUGGGGCUGCCCAGCGUGGUUCUAUCAGGUACUCCCCAAACACAUCCGGAUACCCACGAGCUGCACAACAACUGCCCAGUACCAGGAGGUUGCAGUUUAAGAUCAUCCAGCCACUUGCUAAUUCAGAAGAAUAUACAAGAGAAAACUGUAUUUACAAUUUCAUGUGCUUGGGAUCAACUCCAAAAGGAAUUUUAUCUCCUCUCUUUUUCUUUUGACUGUCAGCCUGCCAGAAUUACCAACAGUAUUUAACAUUGUUAAUGAAAAUCUUCAUCCUGCACACAGCUUACACUGAGAUCCCAAUGAAGGGAGAUGCAGAUUCAUAGAGUGGCUGCCCCAUCCAUGGAAGUAUUCAAGGCCAGAUGGGAAGGGGCCUUGAGCAACCUGUUUUAGUGGAAAAUGUCCCUUCCAAUGCAAACCCCUCUAUGAUUCCAUGGUCUUUGAAUGGCCACCAAGGAUUACUAAUUCCUCCUGUUUUAAUAUUAAAUGCCAGUUUCAUUUGAGCCUAGACAUUAUGCAAACAACAUUAACUUUCAGUUUUAAGCCAGUGGCAGAAACUCCUCCAUUUUCCUGGCAGGAUACGGGGCGGAUAUCCCUACUGAGCUGCUUCAGACUGUUUAGGGGAUGCCAUGCCCCGGGUGGUUUGGGGGACAAUGCUAUAAUUAUUCUGCCUGCAUAAGGCAGGAACUUCUUUUCCCCUUUAGAGCACUGUGAACACUUAUCAUUAGUGUCUUAUAAUGGAAAGGGUCACAUGAGGCUGGAGUCCGUUCUGUGCCCCACACAGCAUCACUUCAUCUGUCUCAGUUCUCACGGCUGCUUAUCCAACCUGACCUGAAAAAACCCCAAUCCCGGACACGGGGCUGUCCCUGGGGACUCGUUCCAUGGUUUCACUUACCCUUAUUAUUAUUAACUAGCUUUUCUAAAAUUACAUACAGAAUGUUCAAGUAUUAUGCUAGAACAACAUCCAAUCCAAGACACACAGAACAGUCAGCCACACCAGUUCCCACAAAAUAAAUGAGGGAGAAACCAAAAGGAAGAAACCCCACCAAGAAAUGCCUUCCUGACCUGGAUACAGUUGAUGAUGAACUUGUGUCCUCGGAAGAUCUUCUGCAGGACUCCACUCCUGGAAUUGAAAGCUCUUGCA